rnacentral:miRNA from 1 species
CAUCGUCACUGCGAGCGGAGCGAAGCAAUCCAGGGCUUCGUGAUCCGACCCUGGACUGCUUCGCUCCGCUCGCAGUGACGAUU